GGGAUGGACGAGUUCAAUUCUGCAGAAAAGCUUGUUGCCUCGGUGAGUGUGGGCUAAACAUGAGAGGGGAGGUGGGCUGCCUUUUCCCCAUGUCCCUGCUAUCAGUCUCCCUGACCCUGCCACCCCUCUGUUCCAGCUCGUGAAAAAUUCAUGUAUGGAAAUGAUGGCUGGGGACACACACUUUGUCUGUUUAGGAGACAAAACCGAAGCAAGUUGCUGAGUAUCUGCCAGCUCCAAUUUCAUCUCCAAGAAGUAGAAAUAGCAACACUAUCAGAUCUUCAGUGAGAUGUAGACCCAGUGGAGUUCCCAAUGACUGGCACAGAGUCUAGAAACUAGUGGCUUUCACCAACAGGAGCUGGUUUUAAGACUUCUAUCACUGACCCCUGGCUCUGCCCCCACCUUCCUGCUGAGUCCAGGUUGGGGAGGGAAGUGGUUAAAGAACACCCAGGAUGAAAGCAUCUCUAGCUGAGCCCUCUGUGGGUGGAAUCUGUCUGACUCCUCCUGUCUCUGACCCUGUGAGCGGCAGUGCAGUGUGGUGAGAGACCCUAUAUAUGUGCAGAGCCCUUUCCUGCACAUUCCAGCUGUGCAGCAACCCGACAGCUGCCAUUCUCUGAUCAUGUCGCCAGGACAUUCACAGGCCUGUUAGACCUCAGUGGACACUGUCAUUCCCGCCCUGUGGUGACCUGGCUGGGAUGCAAGUGCCUGCUGCUCACGCCCUGCCAGUGAGGCCCUGCGGUGCUGCUCUGACCUUAACAACUGCUGUCGUCUUGUCAAAAGCUGCCACGCAGCAUGACUGUCACUGAAAUGGGAAGUUCAAGGCAGGAAGCCGGACCCCAAAUAAAGCAGAAGAAUCUGGUCAUCAGGCUGUCAUUCUGAAUACAUCCAAGGUUCAAAUGAGGGGAAUGCCAGGAGGGAGUAUGCAUGAGGCACGUGGCCUCUUCAGCCUCUCAGGCUCCCUCCAGCACUAAGCAGAGGCCCCUCUGGCCUCCCUGCCUCCAGGCCUGUGCUCCUCUGUGCCCGUUCUCUACGCAGAGCCUGAGAAGCUGAGAAGGCCACUGCCCUAACCCACUGACCACGAAGGCUGAGGCCCCCAAGCCAGACAACCAUGCCCUCUAACAUCCAGCCUCUGCUCUAAGCCCACCUGCUGAAGAGACUGGUGAGCGUGGGCCUAGACUUCCUGGAAGACCUUCCUCAGCUUGCUGGCUCCAAGUACUGAGACUUUACUCUCAGAGUGCCUCAAACCCGAAAUCUUUCCUAGUCAGCUGGCUCCUCUGGCUUCCCACAGCCCUUGGCCUCUUCUUAUUAUAGUCC
rnacentral:lncRNA from 1 species